CUCUUCUAGCGGGUGUUGAAGGUUACAUUUAACAGUGUGACAGCACUAUGUUUUAAGAAGCCCUGAAUGCUACUGGAAGAGGAUGUUACCGAAAAAUAAAAUUCCAAACCAGAUGUUACCUUAAAUGAAGAAUAGAAUCUCCAUAUCGGUUGUUUUGACCAUGUAAACACUGUUCUUCAAAUUUUAUUAAAUUGGAAGUCUCAUUGAUUUUUCCCUCACAGACUGUCCAGAAAGUGCAUCAGAAAAUGAGGGAAACUGAGCCCAGCAUUUCAUGGGUCCCAACAGAGGGACACGUCUUUGUGGCUGUCUGUUAGUCAAUGCAAAGUGACUGAGCCUGACAUUCACACUGAAGGAGCGAUCUGCUUGGACCCCGGGUGCCUUGCUCAGGGGAGUCAAGCCUUCAUGAGAUGGGCAGUGGAGAGCCUGCUCUUCCAGCAGUGCCCAGUUUCAGUGGAUUCCUCCUUUAGCCACGCUUAUCGAACACUUAAGAAGGACAUGUUUUGCAGAGAGUCUAAAGUGGACGCAUUUUAA
rnacentral:lncRNA from 1 species